GACGUAGGGCGCAAGCGUUGUCCGGAUUUAUUGGGCGUAAAGAGCUCGUAGGCGGCUCGUUGCGUCGGCUGUGAAAACCCGCAGCUUAACUGUGGGCCUGCAGCCGAUACGGGCGGGCUGGAGUUCGGUAGGGGAGACUGGAAUUCCUGGUGUAGCGGUGAAAUGCGCAGAUAUCAGGAGGAACACCGGUGGCGAAGGCGGGUCUCUGGGCCGAUAUUGACGCUGAGGAGCGAAAGCGUGGGGAGCGAACAGG
rnacentral:rRNA from 1 species